rnacentral:rRNA from 1 species
CCUACGGGAGGCAGCAGUGAGGAAUAUUGGUCAAUGGGCGGGAGCCUGAACCAGCCAAGCCGCGUGAGGGAAGAAGGUACAGCGUAUCGUAAACCUCUUUUGUCAGGGAACAAAGGCGGGGACUAGUCCCCGGAUGAGGGUACCUGAAGAAAAAGCAUCGGCUAACUCCGUGCCAGCAGCCGCGGUAAUACGGAGGAUGCGAGCGUUAUCCGGAUUUAUUGGGUUAAAGGGGUGCGCAGGCGGCCUGUUAAGUCAGCGGGAAAAGCCCGGGGCUCAACCCCGGCGAGCCUUUGAAACUGGCGGGCUGGAGUUGGAGAGAGGUACGCGGAAUGCGCGGUGUAGCGGUGAAAUGCUUAGAUAUCGCGCAGAACCCCGGUUGCGAAGGCAGCGUACCGGCUCCACACUGACGCUGAGGCACGAAAGCGUGGGUAUCGAACAGGAUUAGAUACCCCAGUAGUC